AGUGAACGCUGGCGGUAGGCCUAACACAUGCAAGUCGAACGGCAGCACAGUAAGAGCUUGCUCUUACGGGUGGCGAGUGGCGGACGGGUGAGGAAUACAUCGGAAUCUACUUUUUCGUGGGGGAUAACGUAGGGAAACUUACGCUAAUACCGCAUACGACCUACGGGUGAAAGCAGGGGAUCUUCGGACCUUGCGCGAUUGAAUGAGCCGAUGUCGGAUUAGCUAGUUGGCGGGGUAAAGGCCCACCAAGGCGACGAUCCGUAGCUGGUCUGAGAGGAUGAUCAGCCACACUGGAACUGAGACACGGUCCAGACUACUAAGGGAGGCAGCAGUGGGGAAUGUUGGACAAUGGGCGGAAGCCUGAUCCAGCCAUACCGCGUGGGUGAAGAAGGCCUUCGGGUUGUAAAGCCCUUUUGUUGGGAAAGAAAAGCAGCAGGUUAAUACCCAGCUGUUCUGACGGUAACCAAAGAAUAAGCACCGGCUAACUUCGUG
rnacentral:rRNA from 1 species